AUUGAACGCUGGCGGCAGGCCUAACACAUGCAAGUCGAGCGAGCGGCGGCCGGGUGAGUAAUGUCUGGGAAACUGCCAGAUGGAGGGGGAUCACUACUGGAAACGGUAGCUAAUACCGCAUACCAUCAGAUGCACCCAAAUGGGAUUAGCUAGUUGGUGGGGUAACGGCUCACCAAGGCGCCUAUCCCUAGCUGGUCUGAGAGGAUGACCAGCCACACUGGAACUGAGACACGGUCCAGACCCCUACGGGAGGCAGCAGUGGGGAAUAUUGCACAAUGGGCGCAAGCCUGAUGCAGCCAUGCCGCGGGUAUGAAGAAGGCCUUCGGGUUGUAAAGUACUUUCAGCGGGGAGGCGUUACCCGCAGAAGAAGCACCGGCUAACUCCGUGCCAGCAGCCGCGGUAAUAC
rnacentral:rRNA from 1 species